UACGGAGGAUGCGAGCGUUAUCCGGAUUUAUUGGGUUUAAAGGGUGCGCAGGCGGUCUGUUAAGUCAGCGGUCAAAGCCCGGGGCUCAACCCCGGCCCGCCGUUGAAACUGGCAGUCUCGAGUUGGAGAGAAGUAUGCGGAAUGCGCGGUGCAGCGGUGAAAUGCAUAGAUAUCGCGCAGAACUCCGAUUGCGAAGGCAGCGUGCCGGCUCCACACUGACGCUGAGGCACGAAAGCGUGGGUAUCGAACAGG
rnacentral:rRNA from 1 species